AGAGUUUGAUCCUGGCUCAGAACGUACGCUGGCGGCACGCCUAACACAUGCAAGUCGAACGAAGUAGCAAUACUUAGUGGCAGACGGGUGAGUAACAUGUAGGUAUCUGCCCUUUGGCCUGGAAUAACACGAGGAAACUUGUGCUAAUACCGGAUAAGUCUUUACGGAGAAAGCUUUAUGCACCAUUGGAUGAGCCUGCACUUGAUUAGUUUGUUGGUGGGGUAAUGGCCUACCAAGACUGUGAUCAAUAGCUGAUUUGAGAGGAUGAUCAGCCACAUUGGGACUGAGACACGGCCCAAACUCCUACGGGAGGCAGCAGUGGGGAAUCUUGCACAAUGGAGGAAACUCUGAUGCAGCGAUGCCGCGUGAGUGAAGAAGGCCUUUGGGUUGUAAAGCUCUUUCGUCGGGGAAGAAAAUGACUGUACCCGAAUAAGAAGGUCCGGCUAACUUCGUGCCAGCAGCCGCGGUAAUACGAAGGGACCUAGCGUAGUUCGGAAUUACUGGGCUUAAAGAGUUCGUAGGUGGUUGAAAAAGUUGGUGGUGAAAUCCCAGAGCUUAACUCUGGAACUGCCAUCAAAACUUUUCAGCUAGAGUAUGAUAGAGGAAAGCAGAAUUUCUAGUGUAGAGGUGAAAUUCGUAGAUAUUAGAAAGAAUACCAAUUGCGAAGGCAGCUUUCUGGAUCAUUACUGACACUGAGGAACGAAAGCAUGGGUAGCGAAGAGGAUUAGAUACCCUCGUAGUCCAUGCCGUAAACGAUGUGUGUUAGACGUUGGAAAUUUAUUUUCAGUGUCGCAGCGAAAGCGAUAAACACACCGCCUGGGGAGUACGACCGCAAGGUUAAAACUCAAAUGAAUUGACGGGGACCCGCACAAGUAGUGGAGCAUGUGGUUUAAUUCGAAGAUACGCGCAGAACCUUACCAACACUUGACAUGUUCGUCGCGACUCUAAGAGAUUAGAGUUUUCGGUUCGGCCGGACGAAACACAGGUGCUGCAUGGCUGUCGUCAGCUCGUGUCGUGAGAUGUUGGGUUAAGUCCCGCAACGAGCGCAACCCUCACUUUUAGUUGCCAUCAUUAAGUUGGGCACUCUGAAAGAACUGCCAGUGAUAAGCUGGAGGAAGGUGGGGAUGACGUCAAGUCCUCAUGGCCCUUACGUGUUGGGCUACACACGUGCUACAAUGGUAUCUACAACAGGAAGCAAGACUGCGAAGUUAAGCAAAUCCCUAAAAGAUACCUCAGUUCGGAUUGCACUCUGCAACUCGAGUGCAUGAAGCUGGAAUUACUAGUAAUCGUGGAUCAGCGUGCCACGGUGAAUGCGUUCCCGGGUCUUGUACACACCGCCCGUCACACCAUGGGAGUUGGUUCUACCUUAAGGCAAGGUUUCAAACCCUUGACCACGGUAUAGUCAGCGACUGGGGUGAAGUCGUAACAAGGUAACC
rnacentral:rRNA from 1 species